rnacentral:tRNA from 1 species
UCCCUGGUGGUCCAGUGGUUAAGACUCCGUUCUUCUAAUGCAGGGGGCCCUGGUUUGAUCCCUGGUUGGGGAA